rnacentral:lncRNA from 1 species
CCCAAUCGAAAACCCUCCUUGCUCUCAUCCCAGCAAUAGACGAGUUGGUCUAUAACUAUCGGCUCCUUGUACUCAGUAGGAUAUUAAGUAUAUAAUAGAAAGGCAUCUGCCGUAUCAACUCCCUAUGGAUAUUCAUCAACUACUCUGAGAUGCCCCUAAUGAACUCCAUGUAUCACUUCAAGUCGCAAUGGCAAUUAAUCAGAUAGGAGAGAGCUCUUAAUAUGGUAUAAACACCAAAUAGUUACACCCCACAAAAAUACAAUUUAGGCCCUGGAAUCCUAAACUGAAGGUUAUAUAUUUGCAUCUUAUACUCCUAUUGCUAUCAACUCAUUUUUUCCUUAGCUGUCCUACAUGACUAUACAAUUUCUACCAUUUAACAACCAAUCCUUACCAUCAAUCAAAGAUGCUAUGUGGCAAACAUGAAACACUAUAGUGAUUGUUAAUUAGAUCAUGCUCCAUAGUAAUAGAAUACUAAUAAAUCGAUGAAUCAAACUUCAUACAUCACAAUUAGUAUUGCAUAUUUUCAAUUCAUGUGCCCUAUGAUGUAUUUUAGCACAUUAGUAUGAUUUCUCUUUAUUUUGAAAUCCCCAUGCACA